rnacentral:rRNA from 1 species
AGAAUCAACGCUGGCGGCGUGCCUAACACAUGCAAGUCGAACGGGAAGGGGGGGCUUCGGCUCCCCGGAGAGUGGCGUACGGGUGAGUAACACGUGGGUAAUCUGCCUUUGGGUGGGGAAUAACGAUCCGAAAGGAUCGCUAAUACCGCAUAACGCAGCGGCACCGCAUGGUGACAGUUGUUAAAGGGGGGGAUCUUCGGACCUCCUGCCUGAAGAGGAGCCCGCGCCCGAUUAGCUAGUUGGUGAGGUAACGGCUCACCAAGGCUUCGAUCGGUA